GAGGCAGAGUGGAGUGUAUGAAGGUCCCCUCUAACUCCAGUAUCUCUUGAACUCUGCUUAAGCUGAAUUUUUAGAGGGAUACUUUAUGCAAGCAUUCAUAGAACUCUGAAACACACACACACACACACACACAUACAUAUGUUUUCCUUCAUGAGGGAGUCCUUUAAUAGACAUGGGAAGGACAGGGUCAUGACUUGGUCCUGAGCCAAGGGAUGUAGUGGCUCCUCCUCCCCAACGCUGCAUGACUCUGGUAAAAGUUGACAUGGGAGAGGUGGUUUAAAAACAAACAUGGUGAGACUAAGUUUUCACUUUCAUGAAAAAAAGGGGAACCCGGGAGGAUUUGUACACAGAACAGAGUCUAAGCACCUAUUCCCAUAAGGCUGAAGCUUGCUACAUUCUGCACUGGACACUCUCUCCCCAAACUGUAUGCAUCCAAGUAAGACAAGAGCCUGGCUAGUCCCUGGCUGCACAUGAGGGACUGAUGACUCUAUAGCUCUUAGUGUUUUUACACUAUGCAUAUUGUUGUGCUUUAGAACUCCCUACCCUGCAGCCUCAACCUGAAGCAUCAGGUGAGAAGCCCUCUUCUACUUCAAGCUCAGACCCAGGAGACAGCAGCCCUACUCCUUGCUGGCUCUGUAAACUGAGGGGUCAUCAAAAGAGACAGGUCAAUGCUGGACAAGAUGCAGCCAGUGGGAGAAGGCAGGGUUGGAAGGACCAGGGUGAAAGGACACAGCUGCCAAGAUCCAAGAAAGUCAAAUAGCUUCAUGGAGAACACAUAUGGGCAUUCCAGCCAAGAGCCAUACCUGAAUAUCUAAGUGACUGGCAGCAUCAGCCACCAGACUGUGAUCAAAGAAGGCAUCAAACCCUUUGGUACUCAAAGGGAGAAGAGUUUCCCAUUUACUUGUCAAUUUCAAUGGUUGAUGAAAGUAUCCAGGCCCAGACUGUACAGAGCUGAGAGUGACUCCAGGAGCUCAUCAUGCAGAUUAAAUGGACUUCAUGAAGAACUUACUGUGGUGUGGUUUGUGAUAUUGUAUUGUAUUGUGUUAUGGUUUCCUGGUGUAGGAAAUAUCUGAGACAUAUCUGAUUCUAUUUUUCUUGUCCAUAUUAACCAAAGCCCUUGCAGGAAUUCAUACCAGGUAGUUCAACUGGCAAGACUUCAGGAAGGGUCUACUUACUGAGGUAUAGGAAUGAUGAAGGGAAAGGACAAAAGAUGGUGAGGCGCCCAGAGACAAGUAACAAUGGGGAGCCAUUGCUGCCCUGUGACUAAGAAGACAAAGGAAACCAGGUUUGCUAUGGAAGUUCAUUAAGAGCUGGAACUGAGGAGGAGAGGCUGCUGGUAGGAGCUGUAAUUAUAACGGGAAUCAGACACUACCAUAGUCCUGGUGGAAAACCCUCUUGGCCUUUGAGUCCCUGCUGGUGCCACCCACUGCCCAGGCAUAAACAAUCCAUUGGGAGGUGGGGGGGGGGUCUAAAUGUUGUAGACAAUAGGGAUCAUCACAGAACAGAGUGAAUGGAUUUGCAAAGGCAACCAGAGAAUAACCAGUAGUGAUCUCACCCACUGAGGACAGUAUUACUUGGCCUUA